rnacentral:rRNA from 1 species
AAAUGUGCCCAAGGCUAUACCACCCUGAUCUCGUUUGAUCUCGGAAGCUAAGGAGGGUCUCGCCUGGUCAGUACUUAGAUGGGAGAAAUGUAAGUCAAAUUACAUUUU